GACAGAGGGUGCAAACGUUGUUCGGAAUUACUGGGCGUAAAGCGCGUGUAGGCUGCUCGGAAAGUCGGAUGUGAAAGCCCUGGGCUUAACCCAGGAAGUGCAUUCGAAACUUCCAAGCUCGAGUCCUGGAGAGGGUGGCGGAAUUCUCGGUGUAGAGGUGAAAUUCGUAGAUAUCGAGAGGAACACCGGCGGCGAAGGCGGCCACCUGGACAGUGACUGACGCUGAGACGCGAAAGCGUGGGGAGCAAACAGG
rnacentral:rRNA from 1 species